GGGAGCUCUUGGUUCUGGCNUCGAUGAAGAACGCANGCAAAUGCGAUAAGUAAUGUGAAUUGCAGAAUUCAGUGAAUCAUCGAAUCUUUGAACGCACAUUGCGCCCGCCAGUAUUCUGGCGGGCAUGCCUGUUCGAGCGUCAUUUCAACCCUCAAGCACAGCUUGGUGUUGGGACUCGCGUUAAUUCGCGUUCCUCAAAUUGAUUGGCGGUCACGUCGAGCUUCCAUAGCGUAGUAGUAAAACCCUCGUUACUGGUAAUCGUCGCGGCCACGCCGUUAAACCCCAACUUCUGAAUGUUGACCUCGGAUCAGGUAGGAAUACCCGCUGAACUUAAGCAUAUCAAUAAGCGGAGGAA
rnacentral:rRNA from 1 species